CUUAGAGUUUGAUGCCUGGCUCAGAUUGAACGCUGGCGGUAUGCUUAACACAUGCAAGUCGAACGGAAACGAUACUAGCUUGCUAGUAGGCGUCGAGUGGCGGACGGGUGAGUAACGCGUAGGAAUCUGCCUGAUAGUGGGGGAUAGCCCGAAGAAAUUCGGAUUAAUACCGCAUAAUCUAUUCGUAGUAAAGUGGGGGACUUUCGAGCCUCACGCUAUCAGAUGAGCCUGCGUAAGAUUAGCUUGUUGGUAGGGUAAAAGCCUACCAAGGCGACGAUCUUUAGCUGGUCUGAGAGGAUGAUCAGCCACAUCGGGACUGAGACACGGCCCGAACUCCUACGGGAGGCAGCAGUGGGGAAUAUUGGACAAUGGGGGCAACCCUGAUCCAGCAAUACCGCGUGUGUGAAGAAGGCCUGAGGGUUGUAAAGCACUUUCAAUUGUGAAGAAAAGUUAGCGGUUAAUAACCGUUAGCCUUGACGUUAACUUUAGAAGAAGCACCGGCUAACUCCGUGCCAGCAGCCGCGGUAAUACGGAGGGUGCAAGCGUUAAUCGGAAUUACUGGGCGUAAAGCGUGCGUAGGCGGUUUAUUAAGUCAGAUGUGAAAACCCCGGGCUUAACCUGGGAACUGCAUUUGAAACUGGUCAACUAGAGUAUGGUAGAGGAAAGUGGAAUUUCUGGUGUAGCGGUGAAAUGCGUAGAUAUCAGAAGGAACAUCAAUGGCGAAGGCAGCUUUCUGGACCAAUACUGACGCUGAGGUACGAAAGCGUGGGUAGCAAACAGGAUUAGAUACCCUGGUAGUCCACGCCGUAAACGAUGAUAACUAGCCGUUGGGGGGAUUUACCCUUUAGUGGCGAAGCUAACGCGUUAAGUUAUCCGCCUGGGGAGUACGGCCGCAAGGUUAAAACUCAAAGGAAUUGACGGGGACCCGCACAAGCGGUGGAGCAUGUGGUUUAAUUCGAUGCAACGCGAAGAACCUUACCUGGUCUUGACAUCCUGCGAACUUUCUAGAAAUAGAUUGGUGCCUUCGGGAACGCAGUGACAGGUGCUGCAUGGCUGUCGUCAGCUCGUGUCGUGAGAUGUUGGGUUAAGUCCCGUAACGAGCGCAACCCCUAUCCUUAUUUGCCAGCACAUCAUGGUGGGAACUAUAAGGAGACUGCCGGUGAUAAACCGGAGGAAGGCGGGGACGACGUCAAGUCAUCAUGGCCCUUACGACCAGGGCUACACACGUGCUACAAUGGGAAGGACAAAGAGCCGCGAAGCCGCGAGGUGUAGCUAAUCUCAUAAACCUUUUCGUAGUCCGGAUUGGAGUCUGCAACUCGACUCCAUGAAGUCGGAAUCGCUAGUAAUCGUAGAUCAGAAUGCUACGGUGAAUACGUUCCCGGGUCUUGUACAC
rnacentral:rRNA from 1 species